rnacentral:rRNA from 1 species
UACGUAGGGGGCAAGCGUUGUCCGGAAUUAUUGGGCGUAAAGCGCGUGUAGGCGGUCCGCUAAGUCGGCUGUGAAAGUCCAGGGCUCAACCCCGGGAGGCGGGUGGAUACUGUCGAGCUCGAGUCCGGAAGAGGCAAGUGGAAUUCCCGGUGUAGCGGUGAAAUGCGCAGAUAUCAGGAGGAACACCGGUGGCGAAGGCGGGUCUCUGGGCCGAUACUGACGCUGAGGAGCGAAAGCGUGGGGAGCGAACAGG